rnacentral:other from 1 species
UGCUCUCUGCGGUGUUCGCCAGCGGAAUCGCAUUAUGCCUUGUCCCUACUUAUCGACCUCGGGACGGCGCCUUUCGAUGCUGGUGUGCAGUUCGUGGAAUGCGAACCGCCUGAAGGCGCGAAGAGCUGUCCCACCUGAACCUCUGGUUCAAGGUCUCCGAUUUCGCAGCGGCAUCUGCGGAGGGCAC